UACGUAGGGGGCUAGCGUUGUCCGGAUUCAUUGGGCGUAAAGCGCGUGUAGGCGGCCAGAUAGGUCUGCUGUGAAAACUCGAGGCUUAACCUCGAGAUGUCGGUGGAAACCAUCUGGCUAGAGUCCGGAAGAGGAGAGUGGAAUUCCUGGUGUAGCGGUGAAAUGCGCAGAUAUCAGGAAGAACACCCGUGGCGAAGGCGGCUCUCUGGGACGGUACUGACGCUGAGACGCGAAAGCGUGGGGAGCGAACAGG
rnacentral:rRNA from 1 species